GAAGCUCUCGAGGCUCAACGAAAGUAAACGAAGUCGCGAAGCGCCUCSCGCGCUUCGCGGUGGCAAAUCCGGGAUGAGCGCGAGCGGCGCCGCGCGCGUCGCUCCGCUUUGCGUAUUCCGGCGCACGCCAGGGGCCCGUCCACAUUCGGAUUCGAACGACGCGUUCGCCUCGCGGGGCGAGCGCCUCUCGUCGAAACGAGGACGGGCACUCCGAGCGCGCGCGUUAGUACCCGAAAGAUGGUGAUCUAUGCUUGUUUAGGASGAANCCGGGGGAAACACCGGUGGAGGUUCGUAGCGAUUCUGACGUGCAAAUCGAUCGUCGGAGCUGAAUAUAGGGGCGAAAGACCAAUCGAACUAUCUAGUAGCUGGUUCCUUCCGAAGUUUCUCUCAGGAUAGCCGGCGCUCAGUCGAACGGAGUUUCAUCCGGUAAAGAGAAUGAUUAGAGGUCCGCGGGGAUGAAACUUCCUCAGCCCAUUCUCAAACUCUAAAUGGGUGAGAAGUCGGGCUUGCGCAAACGAAGCCACGACSCKAGAAUCCGAGCGCCGAGUGGGCCACUUUUGGUGAGCAGAAUUGGCGAUGUGGGACGAACCA
rnacentral:rRNA from 1 species